rnacentral:misc_RNA from 1 species
AAGUCGUAACAAGGAUCAUUAACACGUAUCAAAACCCCCGUGCAUCUUCACAGAGCUCGUCGCUCCUCUCGACAACAGCAAUCCUGGUAAAUCAGUGGCGAAAGUAGUCUUUGAUUCAGGACCUCUGAAGUUGUAAGAUUUGAGCCUUCUAUCGCCAGUCUGGAGUCCUGGCCGGGCGGAUGAAAGUGUCGCUAGACGGUUUCUAGGGUAAGGCUUCUCCAUCGCCGGUGUAUCACACGCCGAAGCGGACAGACUGCAGGGUGUAGUGCCCCUUUACGACGACCAAGUUAAAUUAGGCCUCUACCACAUAGCAAGUGCGCCGUGGUAGAGGAAAACGUACAACUGUUAACAAUGGAUAUCUUGGUUCUC